rnacentral:rRNA from 1 species
UGAAUUUUAAAGGGCCGCGGUAUUUCUGACCGUGCGAAGGUAGCAUAAUCAUUAGUCUUUUAAUUUGAGGCUCGUAUGAAUGGUCGGACGAGGGAUAAACUGUUUCCAGAUAAAAAACUCGAAUUUAACUUUUAAGUGAAAAGGCUUAAAUAUUUCAAAAAGACGAUAAGACCCUAUAAAUCUUAACAUUAAAUUUCAUGUAAUUCUAAUUCAUUAGUAUAAAGAAAUUCAUGAUGAAAGUGUUACGUUGGGGCAACGAAGAUAUAAAAAAAUUAACUGUUUCAUUACUUAAACAAAAAUUAUUGAACUACUAGAUCCUUUUUAAAGAUUUUAAGAUUAAGUUACUUUAGGGAUAACAGCGUCAUUCUUUUUGAGAGUUCCCAUCGAAAAAAGAGUUUGCGACCUCGAUGUUGAAUUAGAAAAUCU